UACGGAGGGUGCAAGCGUUAUCCGGAUUUACUGGGUUUAAAGGGUGCGUAGGUGGGUAGAUAAGUCAGUGGUGAAAUCCCCGAGCUCAACUUGGGAACUGCCAUUGAUACUAUUUAUCUUGAAUUCUGUGGAGGUGAGCGGAAUAUAUCAUGUAGCGGUGAAAUGCUUAGAUAUGAUAUAGAACACCAAUUGCGAAGGCAGCUCACUACUCAGAUAUUGACACUGAGGCACGAAAGCGUGGGGAUCAAACAGG
rnacentral:rRNA from 1 species